AUAUAUUUGAAAAGUAUUUUUUUUCAAAGAAUAGUAAUUUUUUUUGAAUAAUCUCAUUAUAGGUUUUGUCAAAUCCCAGGGCUCAAUUCUGGACAGGCGGUGGAAACUACCAAGCUAGAGUACGGUAGGGGCAGAGGGAAUUUUUGGUGGAGUGGUGAAAUGCGUAGAGAUCAGAAAGAACACCAACGGUGAAAGCACUCUGCUGGGCCGACACUAACACUGACACUGAGAGACGAAAGCUAGGGGAGCAAAUGAGAUUAGAUACCCUAGUAGUCUUAGCCGUAAAUGAUGGAUACUAGGCGUUGUGCAUAUCGACCCAUGUAGUGCUGCAGCUAACACAUUAAGUAUCCCACUUGGGGAGUACGUUUACUAGAAUGAAACUUAAAUGAAUUGACAGGGGCCUGCACAAGCAGUGAGCAUGUGGUUAAUUCGAUGCAAAGCGAAGAACCUUACGAGGGUUUGACAUGCCGCGAAUCCUCUUGAAAGAGAGGGGUGCCUUCGAGAAUGCGGACACAAGUGGUGCAUGGCUGUCGCCAGCUCGUGUCGUAAUGUGUUGAGUUAAGUCCCGCAAUGAGCGCAGUCCUCGUGUUUAGUUGCCACCGUUGAGUUUGAAACCUUGAGCAGAUUGCCGGUGAUAAGCGGAGAAAGGUGAGGAUGACGUCAAGUCAUCAUGCCCCUUAUGCACUAGGCGACACACAUGCUACAAUGGACGGGACAAAGGGUCGCGAUCUCGCGAGGGUGAGCUAACUCCAAAAAAGGCAUUCAAACCUCUGUCCUCUUAUAUUGGCAACAAUGCGUAUAUCAAUCAGGCUAAGACUCAAUCGGCUUAAAAAUAGAUUAAUUUAAAA
rfam:Gossypium raimondii Chr05_contig_1008, whole genome shotgun sequence.